rnacentral:rRNA from 1 species
CUGAUGCAGCAACGCCGCGUGAGUGAUGACGGUCUUCGGAUUGUAAAGCUCUGUCUUUUGGGACGAUAAUGACGGUACCCAAGGAGGAAGCCACGGCUAACUACGUGCCAGCAGCCGCGGUAAUA